AGCAGCCGCGGUAAUUCCAGCUCCAAUAGCGUAUAUUAAAGUUGUUGCAGUUAAAAAGCUCGUAGUUGAAUUUCGGGAUCGACGGGUCGGUCGCGCCUCCGGUGUGUACUGGCCCUGUCGGUUUCUCCCUUCUGAAGAACCGCGAUGUCAUUAAUUUGGUGUCGUGGGAAAUCAGGACUGUUACUUUGAAAAAAUUAGAGUGUUUAAAGCAGGCAUUCGCUUGAAUACAUUAGCAUGGAAUAAUGAAAUAGGACGUUUGAUCUUAUUUUGUUGGUUUCUAAGAUCGACGUAAUGAUUAAUAGGGAUAGUUGGGGGCAUUAGUAUUCAAUUGUCAGAGGUGAAAUUCUUGGAUUUAUUGAAGACUAACUACUGCGAAAGCAUUUGCCAAGGAUGUUUUCAUUAAUCAAGAACGAAGUUAGGGGAUCGAAGACGAUCAGAUACCGUCGUAGUCUUAACCAUAAACUAUGCCGACUAGGGAUCGGAUGAUGUUAAUUUUAUAAUGACUCAUUCGGCGCCUUAC
rnacentral:rRNA from 1 species